AUUGAACGCUGGCGGCAGGCUUAACACAUGCAAGUCGAGCGGGGAAAAGUAGCUUGCUACUGGACCUAGCGGCGGACGGGUGAGUAAUGCUUAGGAAUCUGCCUAUUAGUGGGGGACAACAUCUCGAAAGGGAUGCUAAUACCGCAUACGUCCUACGGGAGAAAGCAGGGGACCUUCGGGCCUUGCGCUAAUAGAUGAGCCUAAGUCGGAUUAGCUAGUUGGUGGGGUAAAGGCCUACCAAGGCGACGAUCUGUAGCGGGUCUGAGAGGAUGAGCCGCCACACUGGGACUGAGACACGGCCCAGACUCCUACGGGAGGCAGCAGUGGGGAAUAUUGGACAAUGGGGGGAACCCUGAUCCAGCCAUGCCGCGUGUGUGAAGAAGGCCUUUUGGUUGUAAAGCACUUUAAGCGAGGAGGAGGCUACCGAGAUUAAUACUCUUGGAUAGUGGACGUUACUCGCAGAAUAAGCACCGGCUAACUCUGUGCCAGCCGCCGCCGUAA
rnacentral:rRNA from 1 species